rnacentral:misc_RNA from 1 species
AUUCAAGUAUUUAAGUUCUAUCAUACAAAAUAAUGGAGUUUUCGAUGAGGAUGUUACUCAUAGGAUCAAUACAGGAUAGAUGAAAUGGAAGAGUGCGACGGGUCUAACAAAGUGAAAGGUAAAUUCUAUAGGACUGUGAUUAGACUAGCUAUGUUGUAUGGGAGUGAACGUUGGACAUCCAAGUUAUAACAUACCCACAAGAUGAAUUGGACAAAUGUGGAUGUUAGAGAUGGAUAUCUGAUAACACGAUAAAGGAUAAAAUAAGGAAUGACUAUAUUUUCCGUAGAGUUCAUAUAGCAUACAUUGGAGAUAAAAUAAGAGGUCGAUUAAUAUAGUUUGGUCAUGUCCGAUGUGGAGUAUCAAAUGUACCAGUGCGGAGUUGUGAUAAGUUGGCAGCAGAGGAAGUGAUAUGGGAAAGAGGGAGAGUUAAAAUGAUAUAGAAGGAAGUAGUAUUAAAAGAUUUAUAAUUUUUGGAUAUCGAGGUGGAAUUGGUUUCAAACAUAGCUAAAUAGUGAAAAAGGAUCCACAUAGCUAAUCUCAACUAGUUUGGGAUUAAGGUAUUGUAGUAGUAGCUGUAGUUGUUUCAUUGUCAAUUUUUUCCCCCACAUAAGUUUCAAUAUUGUGUGUACUUAUUUCCUUUUUCAACAAUUGCAUGCUCUCUUUCCCCCCUUCUAUUUAUAGCUACUAAACCCACUUAACAGGGUCUUAUUCUGAUUCUGCUUGGGUUUGGCUUAAGAGGGGUUUGCUUUCCUAGACAUGAAUUUAGCUGUGUUUUCU